CUGUUCCCAUCUCGAACACAGUAGUUAAGCUCUUCAGCGCCGAUGGUAGUUGGGACUUUGUCCCUGCAAGAGUAGGACGCCGCCAGGC
rnacentral:rRNA from 1 species